GUUGCUUCUUACUGACCGAGUUUUCCAUGAUGUGUGGGAAACCUCUUGUUGGGAAGCAUAGAUUGAAUUAAAAAAGCAGCCAGUAUUAAACAGCAUGAUGUUAUCAUUUACAUGUUAAUUGCAUCAUGUUACCUGUCUCCUGGCACAUCC